rnacentral:rRNA from 1 species
UACGUAGGGUGCGAGCGUUAAUCGGAAUUACUGGGCGUAAAGCGUGCGCAGGCGGUUUUGUAAGCCAGGGGUGAAAUCCCCGGGCUCAACCUGGGAAUGGCAUUUGGGACUGCAAGGCUUGAGUGCGGCAGAGGAGACUGGAAUUCCUGGUGUAGCAGUGAAAUGCGUAGAUAUCAGGAGGAAUACCGAUGGCGAAGGCAGGUCUCUGGGCUGACACUGACGCUCAUGCACGAAAGCGUGGGGAGCAAACAGG